rnacentral:lncRNA from 1 species
ACCAAUACACUGUAACAGGUUAUCUCUCUUGUUGUGAUUCAGCAACUCCGAACUCGAGCAAAAAGGAUGAUCGAGGGGAAAUAAGAUCCUCCUUAUCUUGUACAACAAUUAGGCGCAAACCAAUUAGUAGGAGAACCACUAAUAAUCAAGGAAAAACUGAUGGAGCUAAUACAAGCCUGAACCCAAUCCAACCACAUAGCAGGAAAAUUUGUCCUAAAAAGUACCUGCUGAUCACUU